AUUGAACGCUGGCGGCAGGCCUAACACAUGCAAGUCGAGCGGAUGAAGGGAGCUUGCUCCUGGAUUCAGCGGCGGACGGGUGAGUAAUGCCUAGGAAUCGGCCUGGUAGUGGGGGAUAACGUCCGGAAACGGGCGCUAAUACCGCAUACGUCCUGAGGGAGAAAGUGGGGGAUCUUCGGACCUCACGCUAUCAGAUGAGCCUAGGUCGGAUUAGCUAGUUGGUGGGGUAAAGGCCUCCCAAGGCGACGAUCCGUAACUGGUCUGAGAGGAUGAUCAGUCACACUGGAACUGAGGAGCGGUCCCGACUCCUACGGGAGGCAGCAGUGGGGAAUAUUGGACAAUGAGCGAAAGACUGAUCCAGCCAUGCCGCGUGUGUGAAGAAGGUCUUCGGAUUGUAGAGCACUUUAAGUUGGGAGGAAGGGCAGUAAGUUAAUACCUUGCUGUUUUGACGUUAGCAACAGAAUAAGCACCGGCUAACUUCGUG
rnacentral:rRNA from 1 species